rnacentral:rRNA from 1 species
CCGUGAACCAUCGAGUUUUUGAACGCAAGUUGCGCCCAAAGCCAUUAGNCGAGGNACGUCUGCCUGGGCGUCACGC